rnacentral:rRNA from 1 species
UACGAAGGGUGCAAGCGUUAAUCGGAAUUACUGGGCGUAAAGGGUGCGUAGGCGGUUAGUUAAGUCUGUUGUGAAAUCCCCGGGCUCAACCUGGGAAUGGCAAUGGAUACUGGCUGGCUAGAGUGUGUCAGAGGAUGGUGGAAUUCCCGGUGUAGCGGUGAAAUGCGUAGAGAUCGGGAGGAACACCGGUGGCGAAGGCGGCGACCUGGGUAGAUACUGACGCUGAGGUGCGAAAGCGUGGGGAGCAAACAGG